GACGAACGCUGGCGGCGUGCCUAAUACAUGCAAGUCGAACGAACGCGUCAUACGCUUGCUCCGUUCACCAUAGUGGCGAACGUGCGAGUAGGACAUUGGCACGCAGCUCACCAGACGGGGAUCACGGCCGGACACGGGUGAUAAAAACGUAUAAGCGCAUAAUCUGCAUUGUUUCAUGAGGAAAAAAUGCGAGAGCUUCUGCUGUCGCUACGAGCUGGACCUGCGGUGCAUUAGCUAGUUGGUGAGGUAACGGCUCACCGAGGCGCUGAUGCAUAGCCGACCUGAGAGGGUGAUCGGCCACACUGGGACUGAGACACGGCCCAGACUCCUACGGGAGGCAGCAGUAGGGAAUCUUCGGCAAUGGACGAAAGUCUGACGGAGCAACGCCGCGUGAGUGAAGAAGGUUUUCGGAUCGUAAAGCUCUGUUGUAAGAGAAGAACGGGUGUGAGAGUAGAUGUUAGCGCCUGGGCGGUAACUAAACAGGAAGGGACGGCUUACUACGUG
rnacentral:rRNA from 1 species